rnacentral:rRNA from 1 species
GCCCCAGUAACGGCGAGUGAAGCGGCAACAGCUCAAAUUUGAAAUCUGGCCCCAGGCCCGAGUUGUAAUUUGCAGAGGAUGCUUUUGGCGCGGUGCCUUCCGAGUUCCCUGGAACGGGACGCCAUAGAGGGUGAGAGCCCCGUACGGUUGGACACCAAGCCUUUGUAAAGCUCCUUCGACGAGUCGAGUAGUUUGGGAAUGCUGCUCAAAAUGGGAGGUAUAUUUCUUCUAAAGCUAAAUAUUGGCCAGAGACCGAUAGCGCACAAGUAGAGUGAUCGAAAGAUGAAAAGCACUUUGAAAAGAGGGUUAAACAGCACGUGAAAUUGUUAAAAGGGAAGCGCUUGUGACCAGACUUGCGCCCGGUGAAUCACCCAGCUCUCGCGGCUGGGGCACUUCGCCGGCACAGGCCAGCAUCAGCUCGCUGUCGGGGACAAAAGCUUCGGGAACGUAGCUCUCUUCGGGGAGUGUUAUAGCCCGUUGCAUAAUACCCUUCGGUGGGCUGAG